AACGAACGCUGGCGGCAGGCCUAACACAUGCAAGUCGAGCGAAGCCUUCGGGCUUAGCGGCGGACGGGUGAGUAACGCGUGGGAACGUGCCCUUUGCUACGGAAUAGCCCCGGGAAACUGGGAGUAAUACCGUAUGUGCCCUUCGGGGGAAAGAUUUAUCGGCAAAGGAUCGGCUCGCGUUGGAUUAGGUAGUUUGUGGGGGUAAUGGCCUACCAAGCCGACGAUCCAUAGCUGGUUUGAGAGGAUGAUCAGCCACACUGGGACUGAGACACGGCCCAGACUCCUACGGGAGGCAGCAGUGGGGAAUCUUAGACAAUGGGGGAAACCCUGAUCUAGCCAUGCCGCGUGAUCGAUGAAGGCCUUAGGGUUGUAAAGAUCUUUCAGUGGGGAAGAUAAUGACUGUACCCACAGAAGAAGCCCCGGCUAACUCCGUGCCAGCAGCCGCCGUAAGAC
rnacentral:rRNA from 1 species